rnacentral:lncRNA from 10 species
UGCAAGAGGAUUCAAGGAAACCUGAAAACCUCACAUUAGCAGAUCCGUGUCCCUAAUAUGUGGAGAUGUUUGUGGGUGAAGGCUUUUCAUUCACUCUACAGGUAACUGGACACCUGACUGCAGUUUUUUGCCCAAAUACUGUGCUGCUCAGUUAGAAAUAUCUCCUGGCAAACCUCCAAACACAGCAUUUGUCAAGAUCUUACCAAUCCUCAGUCCCAAUUGGAUGAAAAAUAUUUCCUAAGUGAAUUAUUUCUUCUCCAUUCAACGGGAAGCUGUUAUCACCAACUUUAUUGGAGAGUAAAGAAGAGGCUUUAAAGAGACGAAAUCAUACAUUUUUCUGCCAGCUUGUAUUUUUGAUAUCCUCAAUAUGUAGUACCCUACUUUAUGAGUUUGGAUACAACAUUUCCCCAAUUCCUUCCCACCCAGGCUGUGAUCCUAUCAAAUCUUUGGAGGGCAACUUCAAUAGCACAUAUCCUUAUGAAAUAUAUCAUUGCAAUGUAUCUCUUUACUAGAAUGUCUUCCCCCAUGAGGCCUUGAGCUUUGUGAGGAUAUGAAUUAUGUUUUAUCCAUCUUUGUAUUUUCAAGGGUAACACACAACAAGUGCCAAAUCAAUAUAAGUUGAAAUAAUUUUUUUGUUACCUAUGGUGGCUUAAAUAUAUAAAUUACUAUUCACCUGAAUGAGUUUCUAUUUAUACAGAUUUUAUAUUUCCUUUGAUUUCAUAUAUUUUAUUGACAAUACAUUAAGUGGGUUUAGUUUAAAAACAUUUAUUUAAAACCAUUUGUCAGGGCUGCUGUUAUCACUCAGAUAAGAGAAGUGUACAGUUAGUUAAGGAUAGACCAGCAAUACAUAUUGUGUUGCCAGAAUAACAGCCUCCUCCUCCUCCUCCUCCUUCUUCUUCUCUUUCUUCUUUUCUUUUUUUAAGUCAUGGUCUCAUUUUGUCACCCAGGCUGGAGUGCAGUGGUGCGAUCAUGGCUCACUGCAAAUUCAAGCCAUCCUCCUACCUCAGCCUCUCAAGUAGCCAGGACUACUGAUGCAUGCCACCGUGCCCAGCUACUUUUUAAAUUAUGUUUUGUAGAAACAGGGUUUCACUAUGUUGUCCAGCUGGUGUCGAACUCCUAACCUCAAAUGAUCCUCCCUCCUUGGCCUCCCAAAGUGCUGAGAUUACAGAUGUGAGCCACCAUACUUGGCAGAAAUUUCUGAGAGAGUAAGAAAGAUGUUAUGCUUUGCACUUUGAGGAUUUGGGGAUUUGAGAUUCUUGAGAGAUAGUUUUCCUUGAGUCUCUUAUGUUUCUGCUCUCCUUGUAGCAUCUUUUGUUCUGGGUUGCCUUUCUAAGGAUAUAGGCAUACCAAACAUAAAUAGAUACAACGACUCCCUCUGGGGCAGAGGGCAGAUUUGUUUGUUGUCUAAGGAAAUAAAGGCACUGAUUCCUUCUGGGACAAAGAUUGGGCAGGUUCACCUGCAGUCUCCUUAAAAGACUGGAGUUUCCUAAGGUCAUGGUUUUUAAGCUGUGACAAAUAUCCACUGUGUGUACAGCUUCUACCUAGGUCACUUCACAUUACCUGAUGAGAUCUGGGAGGAGCGGAGGAACUGAAGCAACAUGAAGCUCAUGCUGCCUACUGUGCCUGUGUGAUGAAGUCCUUCGUCUCUGGCUCGGGAGUCUCAUGUGUUCUGCCAGCAUCCACGAAACUCUGACAGGAAGGCUUGUUAGCUUCUAAGUAAUGUAAAAAUUUAAACUCUUCACAGUUCCAUCAGACCUGUGUGUGGGGGCAGACACGCCCAAUUAGAUAUGAUCAAGAGGAAGGUACUGAAGGUCUGGUGCUCAGGGGACCAGUCGAUCUAAAGACACAAUUUUGUUAAUUGUCAUUAUAUAGGUGAAUAAAAUCGUAGGAUUAGAGAAUUUCAACCAAGAAGAGCAUGCAUUUUAAUGGACAGUGAGUCAAGAAUGGAAGUGAAGUCCUUUUCUUCUUUAGGUUAUUGGUUAGAACUGGAUUGUCAAAGUCCUGUGGCCUUAGCUGUGGGUGGGAAAGAGAUGUGGGAUCUGAAAAUUAGAAACCAUUUCUUUGGGGCUAAAAUCAAAGCAAUCGAUUUUAAAUUAAUCAUACUAUUCAUUUUAAAGCAUUUUUAUAUAAAAAUUUUGACAGGACUUUGGUAGAAGAAAAAAUAUGACAAGGACUUUGGUAGAAGAUAGAAAAUAAGAACCAUCCAAAAUGAAAACAACAUUGAUAUAUGCAAUUAGCAAGAUGUAUCUGAGAAGCAUGAUGUGAAGUGAUAGAAAACAGACACAAAAGACCACUUACUGUAUCAUCUUACUUAUAUGAAAUCCUGCAACAGGAAAAAUUAUAGUGAUAGAAAGUUGAUCAGUGUUAUGAAGACCAUGGAAAAGGGAGGAUGCUGCCUGCAAAAAGGUGUAGUCAAAUUCUUUUGGGUAAUGGGAAUGUUCUUGAUUGUGGUGGUUACACUACAUAUAUUUGUUCAAAUUAAUCAAAUUGUGCACCUAAAAUGUGGGAAUUCAAUUUUAUGUAAAUUAUACCUCAAUGAAACUAAUUUAAAAAUUAAAAUAA